AUGCAGCCUCUCCUACCGGGAAGGUGGAUCCCACCGCCUCCCUCACCCGGACCUUCGGCAGACGGGGCCAGACCGCGCUGGCGCCGCGGGGCACCGGGACAGCGGCCGCUGCCCGAGGGCGCUGCGCAGCCGGCGAUUCCCGGGACACGGCCCUUCCUGGGAAGGGACCGGCGGGGCCGGCCCAGCCCGGCCGGAACAAAGGGGGGGCGGCGCGGGGCACCCCCCGACCGGAGGCGGCCCUGGGGCCUGGGCCCGUUCGCGCGGGUCGGGCAGAGGCCGCAUUCCCCCCCCCGCGGCCGCGACCCCCGGAAAGCGCGGGCGGAGCCGGGGCUGCAGGGACUCACCCGGCCCGGGGGGCCUUCCUGGCCGCGGGCGGCGUCUCGGCGGCAGGCUGCUCGGCGGCGGGCCGCGCCCCGGGGCUGCUCCGCCGGCGUCGGGGAUACUCGGCCUUACGGCGGCGGGAGGCGGCGGCGGCGGCUGCAGCUCCCCCCGCGGCCGAAGCGGCGCGGCCGCGCUCCCGGCCGCCCCUCAGCACCCGGCUGCCACCAGACUCCUCCCCUGAUCGUCGGCGGGCGGCGGCGGCGGACGGCGGCGGCCCGAAGCCGGCGGUCGGUCUGCGGCGGGCGGCGGUCCCGGGGCGGGCGGCGGCUCAGCGGCGGCGCCCCCGGCUGCUCGGUGCCCGCCGGCAUCGGGGCGGCGGCGGCGGCGGCGGGGCCGGGACGGCCGCGCUCCACCCUCGGCCGGGCACGCCCGCCCCCGCCGCCCACGGCCAAUCAGCGCCCGCCGCCGGCCUUCACGCGCGGCCCCUGCGCCCCGCCCCCUGCCCGCGACCACCAAUCCGCGGACGGGACUCGGGGGACGGCCCUGCCCCCCAGGCCCGAGUGCCCCCGCCCGCCGCGCUCACGCCUUUCCCCGCCGCUCGCGCGCCGCCUAGCCAAUGGGCGGCCCGGCCACGGCGGGGCCCGCCCCCCACGGGCGAGCGGCCAAUCAGCGCGCUGCUCCCGCGCGCGCCCCGGACUCGCACCGCCUCUCGCGCAGGCGCUGCCACGGCCGCUGCGCUCGCGCUCCCGC
rnacentral:lncRNA from 1 species